GUUGCUGGCAUUUCAUCUGCCAUUUGCCAAACCUGUCUGAUCUUAGAAGCUAAGCAGGGCUGGAUCUGGCUUAUCCUUGGAAGAAAGACCACCUGGAAAUACCAGAUGCUGUCAACU
rnacentral:rRNA from 1 species